CGUAGGGGGCAAACGUUGUCCGGAUUUACUGGGUGUAAAGGGUGCUCAGGCGGUUUUGUAAGUCAGAAGUGAAAUCCUAGGGCUUAACUCUGGAACUGCUUUUGAUACUGCAAGGCUUGAAUAUGGAAGAGGAGGGCGGAAUUUCUGGUGUAGCAGUGAAAUGCGUAGAUAUCAGAAAGAACACCAGUGGCGAAGGCGGCCCUCUGGUCCAUUAUUGACGCUAAGGCACGAAAGCGUGGGGAGCAAACAGGAUUAGAUACCCUGGUAGUCCACGCCUUAAACGAUGAAUACUAGACGUUGGGGUUAAACUCAGUGUCGCAGCUAACGCAUUAAGUAUUCCACCUGGGGAGUACGAUCGCAAGGUUG
rnacentral:rRNA from 1 species